rnacentral:rRNA from 1 species
UACAGGGGGUGCAAACGUUGCUCGGAAUCAUUGGGCGUAAAGCGCACGUAGGCGGUCUGUUAUGUCGGAUGUGAAAGCCCUUGGCUCAACUGAGGAAGUGCAUCCGAAACUGGCAGGCUAGAGUACGAAAGAGGAUCGCGGAAUUCCCGGUGUAGAGGUGAAAUUCGUAGAUAUCGAGAGGAACACCGGUGGCGAAGGCGGCCAACUGGACGAAUACUGACGCUGAGGAGCGAAAGCAUGGGGGAGCGAACAGG